UAGAGGACGGUGGCACCCCAGU
rnacentral:misc_RNA from 1 species